rnacentral:lncRNA from 1 species
UGUCAUGAAAUUGCAACGUGCCGAACUUGCCGAGGCCAACGACAGCGGAGAUGAGGCUUUCCUGUCCGACAACGAUAUCGCCGAGCUUCUGCUUGACCCAAAGGAGUUUUCUGCGCGAAGGAAGCUUUC